CUACGAAGGGUGCAAGCGUUACUCGGAAUUACUGGGCGUAAAGCGUGCGUAGGUGGUUGUUUAAGUCUGUCGUGAAAGCCCUGGGCUCAACCUGGGAAUGGCGAUGGAAACUGGGCGACUAGAGUGUGGCAGAGGGUAGUGGAAUUCCUGGUGUAGCAGUGAAAUGCGUAGAGAUCAGGAGGAACAUCCGUGGCGAAGGCGACUGCCUGGGCCAACACUGACACUGAGGCACGAAAGCGUGGGGAGCAAACAGGAUUUGAUACCCUGGUAGUCCACGCCCUAAACGAUGCGAACUGGAUGUUGGGUGCAAUUUGGCACGCAGUAUCGAAGCUAACGCGUUAAGUUCGCCGCCUGGGGAGUACGGUCGCAAGGUUGAAACUCAAAUGAAUUGGCGGGG
rnacentral:rRNA from 1 species